rnacentral:rRNA from 1 species
GAUGAACGCUGGCGGCGUGCCUAAUACAUGCAAGUCGAGCGAACGGACGAUAAGCUUGCUUCUCUGAUGUUAGCGGCGGACGGGUGAGUAACACGUGGAUAACCUACCUAUAAGACUGGGAUAACUUCGGGAAACCGUAGCUAAUACCGGAUAAUAUUUUGAACCGCAUGGUUCAAAAGUGAAAGACGGUCUUGCUGUCACUUAUAGAUGGAUCCGCGCUGCAUUAGCUAGUUGGUAAGGUAACGGCUUACCAAGGCAACGAUGCAUAGCCGACCUGAGAGGGUGAUCGGCCACACUGGAACUGAGACACGGUCCAGACUCCUACGGGAGGCAGCAGUAGGGAAUCUUCCGCAAUGGGCGCAAGCCUGACGGAGCAACGCCGCGUGAGUGAUGAAGGUCUUCGGAUCGUAAAACUCUGUUAUUAGGGAAGAAAAUAUGUGUAAGUAACUGUGCACAUCUUGACGGUACCUAAACAGAAAGCCACGGCUAACUACGUG